GGGGAUCUGCCCGAUAGAGGGGGAUAACCACUGGAAACGGUGGCUAAUACCGCAUAACGUCGCAAGACCAAAGAGGGGGACCUUCGGGCCUCUCACUAUCGGAUGAACCCAGAUGGGAUUAGCUAGUAGGCGGGGUAAUGGCCCACCUAGGCGACGAUCCCCAGCUGGUCUGAGAGGAUGACCAGCCACACUGGAACUGAGACACGGUCCAGACUCCUACGGGAGGCAGCAGUGGGGAAUAUUGCACAAUGGGCGCAAGCCUGAUGCAGCCAUGCCGCGUGUAUGAAGAAGGCCUUCGGGUUGUAAAGUACUUUCAGCGGGGAGGAAGGCGAUGCGGUUAAUAACCGCGUCGAUUGACGUUACCCGCAGAAGAAGCACCGGCUAACUCCGUGCCAGCAGCCGCGGUAAUACGGAGGGUGCAAGCGUUAAUCGGAAUUACUGGGCGUAAAGCGCACGCAGGCGGUCUGUUAAGUCAGAUGUGAAAUCCCCGGGCUUAACCUGGGAACUGCAUUUGAAACUGGCAGGCUUGAGUCUUGUAGAGGGGGGUAGAAUUCCAGGU
rnacentral:rRNA from 1 species